rnacentral:tRNA from 1 species
GCCGGGUUCUCCUAGUCUGGUAGGGAGCAGAUUACGGCGCCUAUAAGCUCAAGCCUGGAGUCACCUAAGACUAGAACAACAGUCAGCCUGUGGCCCGAAAGGGCCGCGUGGGUUCAAAUCCCACACCCGGCG